CAGGCAGAAAGGAUCAAGCGUGAAAAGGCUCAAUCAAGAAGAUUAGAUGAUGCCGAACCUCAAGUUCAGCCUGAAUCUAUUGUUCCAGUUGCUCGGUAUCAUGGUUCUCGUCUUGCUUCAGGCCCUUCACCUUCACCAUUUCAGCAAGUAAGGGGCUUUGAUAAUAGUAGACCCUCUACCCGGCCCCACAAAGUCCGCCGUUUAUCUUCAGGCGCAAAUAUUGCUGCUGCUAUUGUGGAAGCAGAGGACAGUCUUGAAACAGAAGAACAUGAGAACAAAGAAGAAUUGAAAGUGAAGCUUAAGGAGUUACUUCGUGAGAAAUCUGAUGCCUUUAACUCAAAAAAUCCUGAA